rnacentral:lncRNA from 1 species
CUGGUUUUGAAAAUGGAGAGAAAGAGUGAUGAACUGAGAAACAUGGAUGGCCUUGGGAACGUGGAAAAGGGUCACUGAAAUGGGAUGACAUGAACUCAAGGAGGCUAUUUAUGACCAUGUCAUUUGCAACAUGAAGAAAGCUUAUCUGGAGUGAAAGUAAAUGAGACCAACAGAGAUAAGAGACCCAGAGAAAUCUUGGUUACACUGCUUGAAUCCUACACAUACUAACAUAAGGCCACAUGAGGACACAGUGAGAAGUUGGAAGUCUACAACCCAGAAGAGAGCCCUCAACAGAACCUAACCAUGCUGGUACCCUGAUCUCAGACAUCCAGCCUCCAGAAGAGUGAAAAAAUAUAAUUCUUAUUUCUAAGCA